UACGUAGGGGGCGAGCGUUGUCCGGAUUUACUGGGCGUAAAGCGCGUGUAGGCGGCCCGUUAAGUGGGGUGUGAAAGCCCGGGGCUCAACCCCGGGACGCCGCUUCAAACUGGCGGGCUUGAGGACGGAAGAGGGGAGUGGAAUUCCUGGUGUAGCGGUGAAAUUCGUAGAUAUUCGGAGGAACACCAGUGGCGAAGGCGGCUCACUGGUCCGGUACUGACGCUGAGGUGCGAAAGCGUGGGGAGCAAACAGG
rnacentral:rRNA from 1 species